AAAACUUUUCCAAAAAAAAAAAAAAAAAAAUCUGUUCUUAUCAGUUUAAUAUCUGAUACGUCCCCCAUCGGGGGACUACAUAUUAAAUGGAUUUUUCGAACAGGGAGUCGGAAAUGGGGCUUGCUCCGUCCGCUCCACGCAUCGACCCGGUAUUGCAGUACCUCCGGGAACGGUGCAACACUU
rnacentral:snRNA from 1 species